rnacentral:rRNA from 1 species
UUGAAAGGGAAACGAUUGAAGUCAGUCAUACCAACGGGAAAUCAACCUUUUGAGCUCGGUCUCGUGGGUUUUGAAGAGUUUCAAAGCCUUCGGAUUCGCGAGAUUGGGAUCUCUCGGUGUACUUUCUCGUACGGUUAGUCAACAUCGGUUUUGAAUGUCAUAAAAUGACUGGAGGAAUGUAGCUUCGAUCUCGUAUUGAAGUGUUAUAGCCUUUGGUAGAUGUGAUGUUUGAGACCGAGGAUUACAACGGAUGCCCUUCAGGGCUAUUCGUCUGAUCUCUGAUACGUUGCCUUGAUGUUGAAAGCUUGCUUAUGAUGUUAGGGUAUUACGGUCAAAAGGUUAGAACGAAUUACAUUCGUUAAGGAUGUUGACGUA